rnacentral:rRNA from 1 species
AAUGAACGCUGGCGGCAUGCCUAACACAUGCAAGUCGAGCGACAGCACAGUAAGCUCGUGUCCUUACUGGUGGCGAGUGGCGGGCGAGUAACACGUGCAUAGCCUACUUCUAUUUCUGGGGGAAUAUCGGGAAACAGCUGAUAAUACCAGAUCAUACUUUCUACGGGUUGGAUCAGAGGUUAUAGGGGGCCUUCGCGUCACAAUGAGCUGGAGUCGGGCUGGAUUAGCUAGUUGGUAAGGUAACGGCAAACCAAGGCAACGAUGCAUAGCUGAGCUGAGAGGGUGAUCAGCCACACUGGAACUGAGACACGGUCCAGACUCCUACGGGAGGCAGCAGUAGGGAAUCUUCGACAAUGGGCGAAAGCCUGACGGAGCAACACCGCGUGAGUGACGAAGGUCUUCGGGUCGUAAAGCUCUGUUGUUGGGAAAGAAGAGAUGUGUGAUAAACUCUGGAUGUCUUGACGGUACCUAAAGAGAAAGCCCCGGCUAACUUCGUG